rnacentral:rRNA from 1 species
UAUAAUAUUAAUUAUUAUAUGUCCAUCUUUUUUCACUAAUUUUUUUGAGGAUAAGCUCAAAAAGAAGUUAAGAUAUUUUUUAAUUGAAGUUGCUGUGUGGGCUUAAAAUUGGCUAUCAUAAAAGUUUGUUAUAAAAUAGUAAUUUUUAGUUUAAAAAAUAAAUAUAUUUUAAUCUAACUUCUUACGGAGAUAAAAUCUUUAACUAAAAUAGGUUUUACACCUAUGCUAGGAUGAGUAUUAAAACUAAUAUUAAAUAUGAAAAAUUUUCUUCAAAAAAAAAUAUUUAAAGAAAUUAAUUAAUUAAAAGGAACUCGGCAAAUUUAGUUGCUUCGCCUGUUUAUCAAAAACAUGGCUCUCUGCCUAUGUAUAUAUAGAGAGUCGAGCCUGCCCAGUGAAAUUUUUCAACGGCCGCGGUACUCUGACCGUGCAAAGGUAGCAUAAUCAUUUGCCUUAUAAUUGAAGGCUAGUAUGAAUGGUUUGACGAGAGCAACGCUGUCUCUUUUUUAUUUUCAAAAACUUAACUUUUAGGUGAAGAGGCCUAAAUUUUAUUGAAGGACAAGAAGACCCUGUCGAGCUUAAAAGACAUUAUAGAAGUCUAUAUAUUUUUAAAUAAAUUUCCUAUUAAGCUUUUUAGUUGGGGCGACUAAGGAACAAAAAAAGCUUCUUGUUAGUAUUAAACGGUCACGUUUAGAUCCGAUAAUAAUCGAUCAAAGAAAUUAGUUACCGCAGGGAUAACAGCAUAAUCUCUCUUGAGAGACCUAAUCGAAAGAGGGGGUUGUGACCUCGAUGUUGGACUAGAAUAU